GAGUUUGAUCUUGGCUCAGAUUGAACGCUGGCGGCAUGCCUUACACAUGCAAGUCGAGCGGAUGACGGGAGCUUGCUCCUUGAUUCAGCGGCGGACGGGUGAGUAAUGCCUGGGAAUCUGCCCGGUAGUGGGGGACAACGUUUCGAAAGGAACGCUAAUACCGCAUACGUCCUACGGGAGAAAGCAGGGGACCUUCGGGCCUUGCGCUAUCAGAUGAGCCUAGGUCGGAUUAGCUAGUUGGUGGGGUAAUGGCUCACCAAGGCGACGAUCCGUAACUGGUCUGAGAGGAUGAUCAGUCACACUGGAACUGAGACACGGUCCAGACUCCUACGGGAGGCAGCAGUGGGGAAUAUUGGACAAUGGGCGAAAGCCUGAUCCAGCCAUGCCGCGUGUGUGAAGAAGGUCUUCGGAUUGUAAAGCACUUUAAGUUGGGAGGAAGGGCAGUAAGUUAAUACCUUGCUGUAUUGACGUUACCGACAGAAUAAGGCACCGGCUAACUCUGU
rnacentral:rRNA from 1 species